rnacentral:rRNA from 1 species
UGGGGAAUAUUGGACAAUGGGCGAAAGCCUGAUCCAGCCAUGCCGCGUGUAUGAAGAAGGCCUUCGGGUUGUAAAGUACUUUCAGCGAGGAGGAAGGCGUUGUGGUUAAUAACCGCAACGAUUGACGUUACUCGCAGAAGAAGCACCGGCUAACUCCGUGCCAGCAGCCGCGGUAAUACGGAGGGUGCAAGCGUUAAUCGGAAUUACUGGGCGUAAAGCGCACGCAGGCGGUCUGUCAAGUCGGAUGUGAAAUCCCCGGGCUCAACCUGGGAACUGCAUCCGAAACUGGCAGGCUAGAGUCUUGUAGAGGGGGGUAGAAUUCCAGGUGUAGCGGUGAAAUGCGUAGAGAUCUGGAGGAAUACCGGUGGCGAAGGCGGCCCCCUGGACAAAGACUGACGCUGAGGUGCGAAAGCGUGGGGAGCAAACA